rnacentral:rRNA from 1 species
CAAUAGCGUAUAUUAAAGUUGUUGCAGUUAAAAAGCUCGUAGUUGGAUUUCUGGUGGGAGCGAUCGGUCUGGCGCUUAGCGCGAGUACUUGCAUCGUCUCCGGCCAUCCCUGGGGAGAGUCUGUCUGGCAUUAAGUUGUCGGGCAGAGGAUCCUCAUCGUUUACUGUGAAAAAAUUAGAGUGUUCAAAGCAGGCUUAUGCCGUUGAAUAUAUUAGCAUGGAAUAAUAAGAUAGGACUUUGGUACUAUUUUGUUGGUUUGCGCACCAAAGUAAUGAUUAAUAGGGACAGUUGGGGGUAUUCGUAUUCCGUUGUCAGAGGUGAAAUUCUUGGAUUUACGGAAGACGAACUACUGCGAAAGCAUUUACCAAGGAUGUUUUCAUUAA